rnacentral:lncRNA from 7 species
AUGCCCUGUUCUGACAUGUGGAUUUCAGCUGUUUGUGGGAUUGUGUUGGGACCCUUCAUAAAGUGGGCCAUCCAUACCAUAGCUUGUCAGUCAGCAGAAGAGCUGCCCUGCCAGCACGGAUACAGCUCCCACCCAUGCUGCAGCCCAAGCUACAAACAGCCCUGAUAGAAGGAACAGAUGUUUAAGAACUGGAUCUUUCCAAGCACCAUGUGGCACCAACCCAACAGUAAAUUCUUUUCCUACAACCGUGAAAGCAUCGUGUUCCUGGGAGAAGUUACAGUGCAACGGAAGGCUGUGGAAUUAGGCCUGAGAUGGAUAGAUGCAAAAAGGAUCAGACAUCUCAUUUCCUUGUGACCACCACUGAAGAUAAGAUGGUGUGUGAGGUCAGGCUUCAGUCCGAUGCAGCUCAGCUGCUCUUGUGAUCCAGGUACUUCAGUGGUAGAUGGUACCAUCAUUUUUGCAAUUAUGCUCUAAUACAAAAGGUUUAUGACUUUCAUUGCAAGAAAGAGAGGCUUCUUACGUGUUUGCUUGCAACACCAAUAAUUGGAAGUAAGAAAUUUUAUAACUUACAUAAUUAAUUAUGUAAACUUUCACUUUCACUGGGCUUUCAUAGUGUCAUUACAUCUUUUAAGAAUAAAGAAUGACCCGUUCAUAUAGAAAGAAAAAGGCAAAUAAGAGAGUGAUUAUUUCUGUUUAUACAGUAGUUAAAAAUUGCUGUACAAAUAUUAUUUGUGAUGUUCAUAUUGUGCUGGAAAGAUACAGCUGUUUCAACAAAGCACAUGUAUGGAGUGAAAUAGGAAACAGACUUGCUGAGAAAAAAGUCAAAAUCUAUUCUAUGUAAACUGUAGUCUCUGAUGGGACAAACAUCCUUCUCAACUCUCUUUCAUUUUAUAGGAUUUCUUUUCAGUAUCUGUAGUUUGCAGUUUAACUAUUUUGAGCAAUUAGUAUGAUAGUAUGCAAGAUGCGUAAAUAUUGAGCUUGUGACUGUGAAUAUAGGAUGUGUCUACUCUGCAUUAAUAUGAAAAACAUUGAAAUGUUUUACUGAAAUUAAAAAUUAAAUUGGUGGCAGAGGUUUUUCACCUGUAAUCUAUU